rnacentral:rRNA from 1 species
GACGAACGCUGGCGGCGUGCUUAACACAUGCAAGUCGAACGAGAAUCUGUGGAUCGAGGAUUCGUCCAAGUGAAGCAGAGGACAGUGGCGGACGGGUGAGUAACGCGUGAGGAACCUGCCUUUCAGAGGGGGACAACAGUUGGAAACGACUGCUAAUACCGCAUGAUACGUUUUAGGGGCAUCCCUGAGACGUCAAAGAUUUAUCGCUGAAAGAUGGCCUCGCGUCUGAUUAGCUGGUUGGUGAGGUAACGGCCCACCAAGGCGACGAUCAGUAGCCGGACUGAGAGGUUGACCGGCCACAUUGGGACUGAGAUACGGCCCAGACUCCUACGGGAGGCAGCAGUGGGGAAUAUUGGGCAAUGGGCGCAAGCCUGACCCAGCAACGCCGCGUGAAGGAAGAAGGCUUUCGGGUUGUAAACUUCUUUUAAGAGGGAAGAGCAGAAGACGGUACCUCUAGAAUAAGCCACGGCUAACUACGUG